GUCACGGCAUUCAUAGUGGCCGUAAGUUGGGCUUGGCCGGCCAUUAGCUGUGCGUUGAUGUCAGCUUGGGUUCGAACAGCAUUAGCAUUGACAUCUCCCAUGUCUCUCCUGUGUACAAGAAAGAAAAGAGAUCAAGUGCAAAAGGGAAAUAGAAGAUAUAAGAAGAGAACAAUCAAACAAAUAGAUGCAAAUGACUUGUUUAUUUUUUUUUUAAAUAUGAAAGAUGAAUUUCGAAAAGUUUAAAAAAAGGAAAGUUGAAAUUUUUUUUUUUGUUAAAGAAAAUAUGAAAUUAGAAUCUAAAGUUUUAAUUCGAAACUGGAAAUUUUUUUUUUUUUUUUAAAACUUUGAAAAGAAAAAAUCAAAUCAAUCAAGAAAACAAAAGAGGAAAGUAUAAAUGCAAAUGCAAAUCAAAUUUCGAAUUUGAAUCAGAUGGAAUAUUUUUUUUUUUUUUUUAAAUUAAAAAGGAUUGGUAAUCAAAACUAAAUGCAACUAAUCAAUCUAGCUAACUUGGUCAAGUAAGAA
rnacentral:lncRNA from 1 species